rnacentral:rRNA from 1 species
CCUACGGGUGGCAGCAGUGAGGAAUAUUGGUCAAUGGACGAGAGCCUGAACCAGCCAAGUAGCGUGAAGGAUGACUGCCCUAUGGGUUGUAAACUUCUUUUAUAUGGGAAUAAAAUGCGCCACGUGUGGUGCUUUGCAUGUACCUUAUGAAUAAGGAUCGGCUAACUCCGUGCCAGCAGCCGCGGUAAUACGGAGGAUCCGAGCGUUAUCCGGAUUUAUUGGGUUUAAAGGGAGCGUAGGCGGAUUGUUAAGUCAGUUGUGAAAGUUUGCGGCUCAACCGUAAAAUUGCAGUUGAAACUGGCAGUCUUGAGUACAGUAGAGGUAGGCGGAAUUCGUGGUGUAGCGGUGAAAUGCUUAGAUAUCACGAAGAACUCCGAUUGCGAAGGCAGCUCACUGGACUGCAACUGACGCUGAGGCUCGAAAGUGUGGGUAUCAAACAGGAUUAGAUACCCGGGUAGUC